CUCAGUGGGAAACAGACUGUAGUUAAGAUGCA
rnacentral:piRNA from 1 species